rnacentral:rRNA from 1 species
AUUGAACGCUGGCGGCAGGCCUAACACAUGCAAGUCGAGCGGAGCGGCGGACGGGGGCGUAAUGCCUAGGAAUGUGCAUGGUAGUGGGGGAUAACGUCCGGAAACGGGCGCUAAUACUGCAUACUAACAGAAGAGCCUAGGUCGGAUUAGCUAGUUGGUGGGGUAAAGGCCUACCAAGACGACGAUCCGUAACUGGUCUGAGAGGAUGAUCAGUCACACUGGAACUGAGACACGGUCCAGACUCCUACGGGAGGCAGCAGUGGGGAAUAUUGGACAAUGGGCGAAAGCCUGAUCCAGCCAUGCCGCGUGUGUGAAGAAGGUCUUCGGAUUGUAAAGCACUUUAAGUUGGGAGGCGUUACCAACAGAAUAAGCACCGGCUAACUUCGUGCCAGCCGCCGCGGUAAUAC